GACGUAGGGGGCCAGCGUUAUCCGGAAUUAUUGGGCGUAAAGAGCUCGUAGGCGGUUUGUCGCGUCUGCCGUGAAAGUCCGGGGCUCAACUCCGGAUCUGCGGUGGGUACGGGCAGACUAGAGUGAUGUAGGGGAGACUGGAAUUCCUGGUGUAGCGGUGAAAUGCGCAGAUAUCAGGAGGAACACCGAUGGCGAAGGCAGGUCUCUGGGCAUUAACUGACGCUGAGGAGCGAAAGCAUGGGGAGCGAACAGG
rnacentral:rRNA from 1 species